rnacentral:lncRNA from 1 species
UUGGCUUUCUCACUACAACAAAACGAUUUAUAGCAACACUUUUAAAUAUAAAUACAUAUCAAAAAAAUAUUGUUAGCUAAAAUUACCGACACUUUUAAAAAGUGUUGCUAUAUGUGGGGUCGUUAGGUAUAUAGUGACAGUUAAAGAGUGUCGCUAUAAUCUAAAAAAGUGCUGCUAAUUUACCAACACUUAUUUAAGUAUUUAACAACCGCUGAAACUCUAUUCGUUGGCUGCGGUGACGGAGGAGGACGACAGGAAAGGAUCUUUGUCUAGAAUUUCAGUGGAUUGAGUGAAGAGAAAAGAAAAGAUGUAAUUAAUUUUUCUUUUUUUUUCUUUUCUGUUUGUAAUCGGGCCAAAUGGACUGGGUGUGUGGGUUGAGUAAGUAAUUUUUUAUUUUUAGUUGGAUUGGGCUUUAUAUUUAAGCAUUAGUAGAUAUUUUUUAAGUUUUAGCAUAAAUGGGACACUUACUCAAAAAUGUUCCAAAACAUAUGUCCCU